UUGUGUUGUCAAAAAGGUUACCCAUUGGACAAGCAAGCUUAUUCUAAGCAGACUCUGAUCGGCCACAUAGGUUCAAUCCAGUUUUAGCCAGUUUUGUUGCGUUGUAAGCGGAGAGGUUUUUUUUUUUUGCGGUACGCGGGCCUCUCACUGUUGUGGCCUCUCCCGUUGCGGAGUGCGCAGGCUCAGCGGCCAUGGCUCACGGGCCCAGCCGCUCCGCGGCAUGUGGGAUCCUCCCGGACCGGGGCACAAACCCGUGUUCCCUGCGUCGGCAGGCGGACGGACUCUCAGCCACUGCGCCACCAGGGAAGCCCCGGAGAGGUUUUUAACAAGCUGUUGCCUUAUCUGCUGUUGUGUAAGACAAGCUCAAGAAAUUCUGUUAGUCAUCGGUUUCUGUUAACCCUGUGGGGCACGUCUCAAGGUCACUGUGGCACUGUUUUGCUGCAAGAGGCUAGUGGAAGAGUCCACACCAGAGGUCUCUGGAGUUGCUUUCCUGUCUGUUAAUCAUCUCUUGAUAGAAACGGCCUUUGAAGCCCAGAGCUACGUGUGCAUUCCUGUUUGGAACUGGCAGAAGCAUCUCUGAGUGCUUAACUGAAGAUUGCGAAAAGGUAUUGCAGCCACAGUGACAUGGAUGUCCCUGGUGGUGCAGUGGUUAAGAAUCCUCCUGCCAAUGCAGGGGACACGGGUUCGGGCCCUGGUCCAGGAAGAUCCCACAUGCCACGGAGCAACUAAGCCUGUGCUCUACAGCUACUGAGCCUGCAUUCUAGAGCCCGUGAGCCACAAUUACUGAGCCCGAGUGCCACAACUACUGAAGCCUGCACGCCUAGAGCCUGUGCUUUGCAACACAAGAAGCCACUGCAACGAGAAGCCCACGCACCGCAAUGAAGAGUAGCCCCCACUCGCCACAACUAGAGAAGGCCCGUGCACAGCAACGAAGACCCAACACAGCCAAAAAUAAAUAAAAUAAAA